rnacentral:rRNA from 1 species
UACGUAGGGUGCGAGCGUUGUCCGGAAUUAUUGGGCGUAAAGGGCUCGUAGGCGGUUUGUCGCGUCGGGAGUGAAAUCCACUGGCUUAACUGGUGGCUUGCUUUCGAUACGGGCAGACUGGAGGUAUGCAGGGGAGAACGGAAUUCCUGGUGUAGCGGUGAAAUGCGCAGAUAUCGAGGAGGAACACCGGUGGCGAAGGC